rnacentral:rRNA from 1 species
AUUGAACGCUGGCGGCAGGCUUCACACAUGCAAGUCGAGCGGGGUGAUGGUGCUUGCACUAUCACUUAGCGGCGGACGGGUGAGUAAUGCUUAGGAAUCUGCCUAUUAGUGGGGGACAACAUCUCGAAAGGGAUGCUAAUACCGCCUACGUCCUACGGGAGAAAGCAGGGGAUCACUUGUGACCUUGCGCUAAUAGAUGAUGCAAAGUCGGAUUAGCUAGUUGGUGGGGUAAAGGCCUACCAAGGCGACGAUCGGUAGCGGGUCUGAGAGGAUGAUCCGCCACACUGGGACUGGGACACGGCCCAGACUCCUACGGGAGGCAGCAGUGGGGAAUAUUGGACAAUGGGGGGAACCCUGAUCCAGCCAUGCCGCGUGUGUGAAGAAGGCCUUAUGGUUGUAAAGCACUUUAAGCGAGGAGGAGGCUCUUUUGGUUAAUACCCAAGAUGAGUGGACGUUACUCGCAGAAUAAGCACCGGCUAACUCUGUGCCAGCCGCCGCAGUAA